UUGGAGGGCAAGUCUGGUGCCAGCAGCCGCGGUAAUUCCAGCUCCAAUAGCGUAUAUUAAAGUUGUUGCAGUUAAAAAGCUCGCAGUUGAAUUUCGGGAUUUAUCCGUCGGUCGGGCUUUUGGGUCUGUACUGGCGUGAUGGAUUCCUACCUUCUGAAUAACCGGCAUGUCAUUUAUUUGGUGCGCUAGGGAAGCAGGACUGUUACCUUGAAAAAAUUAGAGUGCUUAAAGCAGGCUAUUGCCUGAAUACAUUAGCAUGGAAUAAUGAAAUAGGACGGCAUGGUUCUAUUUUGUUGGUUUCUAGGAUUGACGUAAUGAUUAAUAGGGAUAGUUGGGGCAUUAGUAUUCAAUUGUCAGAGGUGAAAUUCUUAGAUUUAUUGAAGACUAACUACUGCGAAAGCAUUUGCCAAGGAUGUUUUCAUUAAUCAAGAACGAAAGUUAGGGGAUCGAAGACGAUCAGAUACCGUCGUAGUCUUAACCAUAAACUAUGCCGACUAGGGAUCGGAUGAUG
rnacentral:rRNA from 1 species